GUUUAGAACUUUGACUGAGUUGUAGAGGGCCAAAUGGGAAGACACCUGGACAUUCUUUAAAUUGUUGUUGACUGGGCCCAGAAUAUUGACAGAAUCAUUUCAGUUGCACUCCCGUCCUGGGAAGGCGGAGAUGUUCUUAGUUCCUGGCUUGUGUUUGACCAGGAGGAAGGAGUGGGUGGAA